ACGGCAGCAUGAUCUAGCUUGCUAGAUUGAUGGCGAGUGGCGAACGGGUGAGUAAUACAUCGGAACGUGCCCUGUAGUGGGGGAUAACUAGUCGAAAGAUUAGCUAAUACCGCAUACGACCUGAGGGUGAAAGUGGGGGACCGCAAGGCCUCAUGCUAUAGGAGCGGCCGAUGUCUGAUUAGCUAGUUGGUGGGGUAAAGGCCCACCAAGGCGACGAUCAGUAGCUGGUCUGAGAGGACGAUCAGCCACACUGGGACUGAGACACGGCCCAGACUCCUACGGGAGGCAGCAGUGGGGAAUUUUGGACAAUGGGGGCAACCCUGAUCCAGCAAUGCCGCGUGUGUGAAGAAGGCCUUCGGGUUGUAAAGCACUUUUGUCCGGAAACGGAAAUUCGCCACCUUAACUUAAUAUUAGGGUGUGGAAUGACCGGUAGCCGGAAGGAAUAAAGGACCCGGCUAACUACGUGCCAGCAGCCGCGGUAAUACGUAGGGUCCCAAGCGUUUAAUCGGAAUUACUGGGCGUAAAGCGUGCGCAGGCGGUUGUGCAAGACCGAUGUGAAAUCCCCGGGGCUUAACCUGGGAAUUGCAUUGGUGACUGCACGGCUAGAGUGUGUCAGAGGGGGGGUAGAAUUCCACGUGUAGCAGUGAAAUGCGUAGAGAUGUGGAGGAAUACCGAUGGCGAAGGCAGCCCCCUGGGAUAACACUGACGCUCAUGCACGAAAGCGUGGGGAGCAAACAGGAUUAGAUACCCUGGUAGUCCACGCCCUAAACGAUGUCAACUAGUUGUUGGGGAUUCAUUUCCUUAGUAACGUAGCUAACGCGUGAAGUUGACCGCCUGGGGGAGUACGGUCGCAAGAUUAAAACUCAAAGGAAUUGACGGGGGACCCGCACAAGCGGUGGAUGAUGUGGAUUAAUUCGAUGCAACGCGAAAAAACCUUACCUACCCUUGACAUGCCACUAACGAAGCAGAGAUGCAUUACGUGCUCGAAAGAGAAAGUGGGACACAGGUGCUGCAUCGGCCUGUUCGUCAGCUCGAUGAUCGAUGAGAUGAUUGGAGAUUAAGGUUCCCCCGUCAAGCGACAGCCGUCAACCCUUGUCUCUAGUUGCUACGAAAGGGCACUCUAGAGAGACUGCCGGUGACAAACCGGAGGAAGGUGGGGAUGACGUCAAGUCCUCAUGGCCCUUAUGGGUAGGGCUUCACACGUCAUACAAUGGUGCAUACAGAGGGUUGCCAAGCCGCGAGGUGGAGCUAAUCCCAGAAAAUGCAUCGUAGUCCGGAUCGUAGUCUGCAACUCGACUACGUGAAGCUGGAAUCGCUAGUAAUCGCGGAUCAGCAUGCCGCGGUGAAUACGUUCCCGGGUCUUGUACACACCGCCCGUCACACCAUGGGAGUGGGUUUUGCCAGAAGUAGUUAGCCUAACCGUAAGGAGGGCGAUUACCACGGCAGG
rnacentral:rRNA from 1 species